rnacentral:rRNA from 1 species
CUCCCACCCGUGUCUAUCGUACCUUGUUGCUUCGGCGGGCCCGCCGUUUCGACGGCCGCCGGGGAGGCCUUGCGCCCCCGGGCCCGCGCCCGCCGAAGACCCCAACAUGAACGCUGUUCUGAAAGUAUGCAGUCUGAGUUGAUUAUCGUAAUCAGUUAAAACUUUCAACAACGGAUCUCUUGGUUCCGGCAUCGAUGAAGAACGCAGCGAAAUGCGAUAAGUAAUGUGAAUUGCAGAAUUCAGUGAAUCAUCGAGUCUUUGAACGCACAUUGCGCCCCCUGGUAUUCCGGGGGGCAUGCCUGUCCGAGCGUCAUUGCUGCCCUCAAGCACGGCUUGUGUGUUGGGCCCCCGUCCCCCUCUCCCGGGGGACGGGCCCGAAAGGCAGCGGCGGCACCGCGUCCGGUCCUCGAGCGUAUGGGGCUUUGUCACCUGCUCUGUAGGCCCGGCCGGCGCCAGCCGACACCCAACUUUAUUUUUCUAAGGUUGACCUCGGAUCAGGUAGGGAUACCCGCUGAACUUAAGCAUAUCAAUAAGCGGA